rnacentral:rRNA from 1 species
CGAAAGAGAUUUGAGGAAGUCUGUCCCUAGUACGAGAGGACCGGGAUGGACGCAGCUCUGGUGUGCCAGUUGUUCCGCCAGGAGCAUGGCUGGUUGGCUACCUGCGGAAGGGAUAACCGCUGAAAGCAUCUAAGUGGGAAACCCGUUCCAAGAUGAGAUCUCUCACCGCAUUUGCGGGUAAGGCCCCUGGAAGACCACCAGGUUGAUAGGCCGGAUGUGUAAGCACAGUAAUGUGUUCAGCUGACCGGUACUAAUAGGCCGAGGGCUUGUGUUA